UAUGAGGGUAUGCUUGAAUUUAUUAAUCCUUUUUUAAUUAAGGUCGUGGGGUAUAUGUUCGACAUGUGAGAAAGGGAGUGGAACUUCCAGAGAUCGACAGGGACGACCAUUAUGACUUCAACUUUCAGGAGUACCGUUCUCUCAGGAGGGAGGUAACAGUCUUACCGGGAGAUUCCUUAACAACAGUCUGUCAAUACCGGACAGGAGCAAACCAGACAAAUGGUGGUCUUGGUACACAUAACGAAAUGUGCCUCUCUUUCCUCGCUUACUACCCGAAAAUGAAAUUAACAGGAUGAUUGUCAAAUUACGAGCCUGCCUGGGAAAAGUUUUCUGACAAAAAACAUGUGGAUUUCCCGAACCCUUC